UAGCGAAGGGGGCUAGCGUUGCUCGGAAUCACUGGGCGUAAAGCGCACGUAGGCGGACUCUUAAGUCGGUGGUGAAAUCCUGGAGCUCAACUCCAGAACUGCCUUCGAUACUGAGAGUCUCGAGUCCGGGAGAGGUGAGUGGAACUGCGAAGUGUAGAGGUGAAAUUCGUAGAUAUUCGCGAAGAACACCAGUGGCGAAGGCGGCUCACUGGCCCGGUACUGACGCUGAGGUGGCGAAAGCGUGGGAGCGAACAGG
rnacentral:rRNA from 1 species